UAUGAUCACAUCACGUUGAAAAACCGGUUCCCGUACGAUCACCGAACUUAAGCAACGUCGAGCUCGGUCAGUAUCUAGAUGAGUGACCAACUGGGAAUACCAAGUGCUGUAAG